rnacentral:rRNA from 1 species
AACGAACGCUGGCGGCAGGCCUAACACAUGCAAGUCGAACGCGUCCUUCGGGACGAGUGGCAGACGGGUGAGUAACGCGUGGGAACGUACCCUUUGGUUCGGAACAACAGCGGGAAACUGCUGCUAAUACCGGAUAAGCCCUUCGGGGAAGAUUAUCGCCAGAGGAUCGGCCCGCGUUAGAUUAGCUAGAUGGUAAGGUAACGGCUUACCAUGGCUACGAUAGGUAGGGGUCCUGAGAGGGAGAUCCCCCACACUGGUACUGAGACACGGACCAGACUCCUACGGGAGGCAGCAGUGAGGAAUAUUGGACAAUGGGCGCAAGCCUGAUCCAGCCAUGCCGCGUGCAGGAAGAAGCAUCUAUGG